rnacentral:rRNA from 1 species
UACGUAGGGGGCAAGCGUUGUCCGGAAUUAUUGGGCGUAAAGAGCGUGUAGGCGGCUCGGUAAGUCUGCUGUGAAAGUCCAGGGCUCAACCCUGGAAUGGCGGUGGAUACUGUCGAGCUCGAGUCCGGAAGAGGCGAGUGGAAUUCCUGGUGUAGCGGUGAAAUGCGCAGAUAUCAGGAGGAACACCAAUGGCGAAGGCAGCUCGCUGGGACGGUACUGACGCUGAGACGCGAAAGCGUGGGGAGCAAACAGG